ACAGAUCGUUCAGAGUUUGAUCCUGGCUCAGAAUGAACGCUGGCGGCGUGCUUAACACAUGCAAGUCGUGCGCGAAGGUGGCUUCGGCUACCAGAGAGCGGCGAACGGGUGAGUAACACGUGGGUAAUCUACCUGGGAGUGGGGAAUAACUUGGGGGAAACUCGGGCUAAUUCCGCAUACGUUGGCAGGAUCUUGGUUCUGUCUAGAAAGCUGGCCUCUACUUGUAAGCUAGCGCUCCCAGAGGAGCCCGCGGCUGAUUAGCUUGUUGGUGAGGUAAUGGCUCACCAAGGCUGCGAUCAGUAGCCGGCCUGAGAGGGUGAUCGGCCACAUUGGGACUGAGACACGGCCCAG
rnacentral:rRNA from 1 species